rnacentral:Y_RNA from 1 species
GGCUGGUCUGAAGGUAGUGAGUUCUCUCAAUUGAUUGUUCACAGCCAGUUACAGAUUGAACUCACUUUCCCCUCUUCUCACAGCUGCACUUGACCAGUCUUUA